UGGGGAAUAUUGGACAAUGGGGGCAACCCUGAUCCAGCAAUGCCGCGUGUGUGAAGAAGGCCUUCGGGUUGUAAAGCACUUUUAUCGGGAACGAAACAUUGUCGGCCAAUACCCGGCAAGACUGACGGUACCCGAGGAAUAAGCACCGGCUAACUCCGUGCCAGCAGCCGCGGUAAUACGGAGGGUGCAAGCGUUAAUCGGAAUUACUGGGCGUAAAGCGUGCGCAGGCGGUUUGUUAAGUCUGCUGUGAAAUCCCCGAGCUCAACUUGGGAAUUGCAGUGGAUACUGGCAAGCUGGAGUACGGUAGAGGAAGGUGGAAUUCCCGGUGUAGCAGUGAAGUGCGUAGAGAUGCGGAGGAACACCGAUGGCGAAGGCAGCCUCCUGGGAUGACACUGACGCUCAUGCACGAAAGCGUGGGGAGCAAACA
rnacentral:rRNA from 1 species